rnacentral:rRNA from 1 species
ACGAACGCUGGCGGCGUGCUUCACACAUGCCAGUCGAACGGAAAGGCCCUGCUUUUGUGGGGUGCUCGAGUGGCGAACGGGUGAGUAACACGUGAGUAACCUGCCCUUGACUUUGGGAUAACUUCAGGAAACUGGGGCUAAUACCGGAUAGGAGCUCCUGCUGCAUGGUGGGGGUUGGAAAGUUUCGGCGGUCGGGGAUGGACUCGCGGCUUAUCAGCUUGUUGGUGGGGUAGUGGCUUACCAAGGCUUUGACGGGUAGCCGGCCUGAGAGGGUGACCGGCCACAUUGGGACUGAGAUACGGCCCAGACUCCUACGGGAGGCAGCAGUGGGGAAUAUUGCACAAUGGGCGGAAGCCUGAUGCAGCAACGCCGCGUGCGGGAUGACGGCCUUCGGGUUGUAAACCGCUUUCGCCUGUGACGAAGCGUGAGUGACGGUAAUGGGUAAAGAAGCACCGGCUAACUACGUG